UCCACAGCUGGGAAGCUGAGGCUGUUGGGGGUUAUAGGCCAAAACAUCUGGAAGGUACCACAUUGGUGAUGGCUAGCACAGACAAUGCUUCAAACUUUCUCCUUGUGCAGGAAUAAAGUAAAAUAAAAUAAACCCUCAAGGAUCAACCUGCAAAGCAGCAAAUCAUAAAGGAACUCGCCAGAACUCAGUUUCUGCACCUCUCAGAUGCGUACCAUUGCCAUUCUAAGAGAACAAGGGAGGUGUUCAUGAUGAUGGGAGAAAUAAAUUAUUCACAGAUUUACAGAGUUCACCAUAGGGUAUCGAUUCACUGUUUGAAAUCUUGAACUGGCAUAAGUAACAGAUAAUGCCCAUCUUCUGCUUGUUGACCUCCUGUAAGGGAAAGUUCCCCUUAUGACUGGUCCCUUUGGCAAACUGCUCUCA